rnacentral:rRNA from 1 species
UACAGAGGUCUCAAGCGUUGUUCGGAUUCAUUGGGCGUAAAGGGUGUGUAGGUGGCGCGCUAAGUCGGGUGUGAAAUUUCGGAGCUUAACUCCGAAACUGCAUUCGAUACUGGCGUGCUUGAGGACUGGAGAGGAGACUGGAAUUUACGGUGUAGCAGUGAAAUGCGUAGAUAUCGUAAGGAAGACCAGUGGCGAAGGCGGGUCUCUGGACAGUUCCUGACACCGAGACACGAAGGCCAGGGGAGCAAACGGG